rnacentral:rRNA from 1 species
AUGAAUGAAAGUCUCUCAGUUCUAAACUGGAAUGUUCGCGGUCUUAACUGCCCAAAUCGUCGCGCCACCGUCCACGAGACCAUUGCUGCUACCCCGUGCAACCUAGUGUGCCUCCAGGAAACGAAAUUGUCAGCGGUCGACCCAUUCCUUGCAUCUUUUCUGGGUGGCCAAAGACUGAAGAACUUUGUUGAAAAGCCGGCGGAUGGAACAAAAGGGGGAAUUCUUCUUCUAUGGAAUGAAGAUUACAUCAAGCUGGACAAUGUUUCUGUUGGAAACCUUUGUAUCUCUGCAAACAUCACCCUUGUCAGCACCAACACCUCCUUCAAAUUCACUUCGGUCUACGGACCUACAAGAAGCAACCUUAAAGAUGCGUUCUUCCAAGAGCUAUUAAGCCUGAAACCACAACAGGGUACAAGGUGGCUUGUCGCAGGUGAUUUUAAUCAGAUUUACCGUGCCUGCGACAAAAACCGCUCAAAUGUUGACCGUAGUCGCCUUGUUCGCUUCCGAAACGCCCUCAAUUCAUCUGGGCUAAAAGAGAUACAUCUACAGAAUAGGAAAUAUACAUGGAGCAAUGAGCAGACCAACCCGACACUGAGCAAGUUAGAUAGUUUUUUCUGUAAUGAUGAUUGGGAUGUUGACUUCGGCUCUCACAUCCUUCAUGCACUAUCAUCCUCGCUUUCCGAUCAC